GUCUUUUCUGGCAGAUUACUUCUGUGAGCAACUGGGUCUCUCAGUUCUUUGGGAGCACCCUGGGAAACAGUGUGGCUAUGACUUGGAGCUGCUCACCAGUUCCAGUCAUUCUGUGGUUGAGAGCUGCUCCCUAUGGAUGUUAAUUCUUCUCUAUUUUAGAUUUUCCACAGGUGUGGGCCCCAUUAGCUCUGGCCACCUGAGAAAGCCCUCAGGCAAAGAGUCGCAGGUGAAAGCCAGCAGUUAGAGGUUCACAGAAAUGAGUGCAGAAGCAUCUUCAGUUGGAGAGCCAUUGCCUCUUGCUGUGAAAUAUUUGGGAAUCUUCAGAAACCAUGAAGAAUAACCUGCUAAAGGCCACCAAGUUCUAUUGAACAUCAUGAAUCCUAUGCUCAAGUGAGAUCAGCUCAAGUGAGACCAGAUAUCUGAAGACCUUUUCAUUUUCGCCACCCUCAAAUGAAGGCAUGCAAGGUAUGUAGCCAUCUUUAUUUUUCUAUUAUUUAACUUCAUUUUUCCUUUGUGCCCUCAUCAGCCUUUCAUUUUAGGCAAAUAAAACCCUUUAAAUUUGGAACACAGGCACUUUGGAAUUUUCCCCUUGAAAUGCUUCUCCUUCAGAUAGCACAUAAGUUUUAGGCAUCAUAACAAUUUGGGCUUGCACCCAGGCCUCAACACCUUCUAGGCUGGAGCCCCUCCAAGAACUAAUCUGUGUUAGUGGUACCCUUUAAUUAAAGCUUGUGUGUAUGUAUAUAUGUGCAUACAUGCUUAUGGGGUAAUGGGAUGGAAUGACAGAAAAGGGAGAGGGUAUAAGAAUCCGGAGAAAAUUGUUUCAUCUGCUUUGCACUUUUUGAACGAUACUCCAUAGAUAGUCACCUACAAAGCAUCAGGGAACGUGUAUCUGGGUUCUAUGGGAGUGAGUUCUCAAAGUCAUAAAAAAUGUCUCCCACCUAUCAGUUUUCAUUAAUGAAAAUGUCAGGACAGCUGAAUAAUUUUCAUAAACCAUUCAUUCAAGGUAUUUAUUAGCAAGAAACAAAUUGCUGUCUUUUUAUUUUUUGUAAUCAUUUAUUCAUAAUGCUAGCCUUUGGUCAGACAAUGGCCUCUUUUAAAACACAAAUAAUCAACAUGUUCUGAAUCCUGGACAUAUUCUGUUUAGGGAGUUGCUUCUUAUGAUUGGCACUAUCACAGCCUUGCUUCAGUUUAUUACACUGUUAGUAAGUGGAAUCACUAAAGCUGUCACAUCAAAAGCCUUCUGGAUUUUCAGAAUCCUUCACUAGCAUUCUUCUCUGACAAGAAAUGAAUUGUUCUUUUGUUGUUGCAUAAUCUGAUUGACAAGACUAACAUGAAUAGGGUCUAUUGCAUGGAGGAAAUUAGGAACCAUUUCUCUUGUCAAAAUUUCUGUCUUUGCUUUUGUCUUUCCUGUCUAAGCACAGAUAUGGUCACAGUAAGUAGUGGGCAGCCUACAAAGGCAGUGGUGCAGCUUAAAGAGCACACGUC
ensembl:lncRNA LINC00534 long intergenic non-protein coding RNA 534